AACGGUGUUGGUACUGAUGUUUCUUCUCUUACUAAAAGGAAACCUGGUCGUCCUCCUAAGCUCAAGCCCGAGGCCCAACCUCAAGUCCAAGCUCAAGUCCAGUUUCAAGAUCAACUUCAAGCCCAGCUUCAAGCCCAACUUCAAGCCCAACUUCAAGCCCAACAGCAGCAAGCAGCCCAGUUUCAACCUCAAUUCCAAACCCAGCCUCAAUUCAUCCAACAGCAGCCCCAGUACUUACCUCAACAACAGUUCCAACCCGACCCGUUACUCCAACCUCAGCAACAGUUCCAGACCCAGCCACAGACGCAGGCCUAUGCUGCUACUGAAGCCCAAAAUUAUGCGGGCCUUGGUGCCGAAUCCGUGUUUGUUUCUCUGGGGCUAGCUGAU
rnacentral:lncRNA from 1 species